GAUGAAGAACGUAGCGAAACGCGAUAUGUAAUGUGAAUUGCAGAAUUCAGUGAAUCAUCGAAUCUUUGAACGCACAUGGCGCCUUCCAGUAUCCUGGGAGGCAUGCCUGUCCGAGCGUCGUUUCAACCCUCGAGCCCCCGUGGCCCGGCGUUGGGGAUCUGCCCAGGCAGUCCCCGAAAACCAGUGGCGGACCCGUUACAGGCCCUUCCCUUGCGUAGUAGCAUUCGCCUCGCAUCGGGAGCCGGCGGGCUUCCAGCCUCUAAACCCCCAUCAAGUCCGCCCCGGCGGCACCAAGGUUGACCUCGGAUCAGGUAGGAAUACCCGCUGAACUUAAGCAUACAAUAAGCGGAGGA
rnacentral:misc_RNA from 1 species